AUUUUAAAGAACUCGUAGUCUUAGAUGAGACACAAAUGCAAGCAUAAUUUCUUACUAGUAUUCAGGCAGGCAUGGGUGCUUCAUGAACUACCAUUAACAAGCACCAUUAUAUAUAUAUAUAUGUGUGUGUGUGUGUACAUAUGUAUGUAUAUUAUACAUACAUUUUUAUAUAUGUGUAUAUGUUAUAUAUUUAUAUAUGCAUGUAGUUUAUAUAUUCUACCUGCUGCUGAGUACUCUGUCAAAAUAGCCUAAAAAUCCUAGGAACUGCCUCGUUAUUUUUUAAUUCUCUAUUUCCAAGGCUGCAUAAUUAAUCUUUAGACUAGCUACAGUUUAGCACCUGUUGAAUGAUAUUAGAGGAAAUCAUCUGUGUUGCAAAUAGAGAAUGUGUUGGGGAGGCUGGACUCAAAUGGAUCCAGGUUUUGCUGUCUUUCUCCUUCUGUUUCAGCAGACAAAUAAUCUGUUGCAACUUUGCUGCUUCUCUUCCACAGCUUGGCUCUGUUCCCGUGCACCAUUUUGUUCUAGGGGAUGCCUAAACUGAUUCUUCAGUGUUAGCCAAAACAAAUGAGGAGCUUGGCUCUCGGUCUGGUUGCAGCAGCUGCUGUGAUCGAAGUUCUCUGCACCUAAGACAGUGGGGCAGCCUUCCGUUUGACAGAUGAACACAUUUUCAUUACUAGGGAAACAGGAAGCAUUGUAUAAUGGGGGGGUGGGGAGAGGGUGAGAGGGAGUGAGAGAGAGAGAGAGAGAGAGAGAGAGAGAGAGAGAGAGAAAUCUGGAAAGCCACUUUGUUCUUUCUUGUAUCAAUCACAUUAUUGUUUGGCUACAAUGUUGGAGAGGAGGUUGGUGAGUGGGAGUCUGAUACCCAGCCUUGAACUUCUCUACCCUUCAGACUAGCUGUGAGCUGACAGCUGGAUGCUUUCUUGACCCCAGGUUGCCUCAGCCAGUAAAAUCCUUUGCAGAUUUGUUCUGGGAGAGUGUCUCUUCAUGCAUACAGCAAAGGGCAUGGAGAGGCCAAGAGGUCUAGGGGAAUCCACACAUAAAAGAAAGGGAAAGAAACAUUCGAUGCUUUCCUUUUUUUAUGGUCACACAAUGAAGUGAAAUUGAAAGUGACUGUUCUAAGGCCAUCAGAGACUUUGGUGCUGAUUUGGACACUGCAGUUAAUUCAACCACACAGACAUGCAUAGAGGUUCUUCAGAGAACAGAACCUAUCUCCACGGUGCCAAGUCAUGGCAGAUUUUCCUUCAUGACUUUGUAUUCACAAUACUUUAAGAAAAAUGGCAAUGUGGAAGGCAUCCUUGAUCUCCAGAUUUUGAGGGUGCCUAGAUAACUGUGGGUGCCCAUCACUGCUGUGGGAAAACCCAAGGAGCAGAAGAUACUUGUGGGAAAGAGAAGCAAAGGAAAAUGGUAAGAAAACACAUAGCCCUUAGGUAUAAAGUUGCAAAUGGAAUGAUAAAAGUUUAACGUAAGUUUAGAGGAGUGUCUUCAAGGAUGACAGGGGUCUGGCGUCCUCAGAGAUAUGUGACUUCUGGAUCCUCACUUCUAAUUAUCACUUUGAUAAAAACGUGUUUACCAUGUAAGCUGCUGAAGGGCCCGGAUUGCCAGUAAAGAAAGCUAAUGGACUGGCAUGCAGUGCUUGUUUAACAAAGGGACACGUUCUGAGAAAUGUGUCAUCAGGUAGCCUUAGUGUACAAUCAGAACAUACUUAAACAAAGAUGGCCGUGAUGUCUUUAGACCAUGCCAUUUGAUGGGAACACCAUUCUCAUGUGGUCAGUGUUAAGUGGAAAUAUUAUUUCAGUGUGCAUGACAAUACUGAAUAACUACCAUUGACACUAUGAUCGGUAUUUUAUUUGAGGACAUAUCAGAGCAGCAAAAACAAUGUGCUUAGAUUAGUUGUUAUGUACACCAAGGAAGCCGAGGCCUGGACUUUGUAUCACAUAGCUCAGUGACACAGGAAGCAUGCCAGUGCAGGCCUUGGUAACUCCAAAGGGCUUUUGAAUGUGCAGAACUCUGCUUCACUCAGGCCCCUACCCUUGCCCUCCUACAUCCAUAUUAGAUACUCUAACAACUCACAGCUCUUCUUCUUUCUUGACUUGCACAAUAUCUCAGCUGUCUCUACACAAGACUCCAGGCUGCUAAAAAUUGAUGAGAGUUGGUGGGAUGGAUCCUGUGCCAUUACCAAUGGGUCAGGUGAGGAGGAAGGGAACGAGCCCCAUUCAUUAGAUAUUUGCUGAAGACUUGCUGUAUAGCAAUGCCAUUCAUUAGUUAUCAUGGCUCAUGUCUCCAUUAUGCUAAUUAGUGGCUCCUGGAGGACUCACUAAGGCCAUCUCUCACUUUGCAUCUGUCACCGCACAGGCACAAUGCUUACUCUUUUGAUGCCAAAGAGCUUGCUCACUCACAGCAUCUCUAAGUUUCUUCUCAUCUAUUAUCUGGGGUUUUAAAAGCAUUGGAUGAGGUCUUUUUGUGAUUGUAACAGUAAUAGCAGAAAAGCGAUGGGAUUUGGUCAAGGGUAUGCAGUGCCAAGCAAGCAAAAAUCAACCAUCUAACUGAUGGUUUCCUCUUAUAGACCAAGAAUAUAAUGACAUGCCAAUCUAAGUUUCAGUUAAAUGCCUAGGAGUCCUUAUUCCAGUUUGCUUUCCUGUUGCUGUGAUAAAGCCCCAUGACUAAAUGAAACUUGGGGUAGAAAGAGUUUGUUAUUAUCUUAAGUGUUAGGUCACAAUCCAUCGCUGAUGGAAAUCAGGACAAGAACUGGAGGCCAGAACCUGGAAGCAGGAGCUGCAGCAGAGAACAUAGAAAAAGCUGCUCACUGGCUUGUUUCCUCUCGCUUGCUCAGCUGCCCAGGGAUGACACCGCCCACAGUGGGCUGGGCCCUUCCACAUCAACCAGCAAUCAAGAAAAUGCCCCGCAGACACGCUCACAGGCCAAGCUCAUGGAGGAAACUCCUCAGUUGAAAUUCCCUCUUUCCAGGUCUAUACAGAUGGCACUUAAGAUGUAGAAUCCAGAAUAGAAUCAGCAUUACAGAGUGAGUCAGCCCGGUCUGGGAUCCACAGUUGCUCACAAAUCUUGGCUCUGUAACAGUGUGUGACACUAAGAGGAAAGGGGAAAGGAAGAACCAGCCUGAGACUGUUGGCAGAUCUGAGAAGUCACCAGCCCAGGAGUGUGAAGGAAAGACACACAGCUGGAGGAGCCUCACAUUGGUAGAAAUGGCCAUGCACUGGUACCCACACCUGCUCCAUCACUGACUCUGAGCCCAUGUGCUUGACUCUCACGUGGAGGCAGAUCCCUAAGAUGCUGAAGCUGAGGAUGUUGACAGAUUGUAUUUGUCUCAUUAGACUUUGGCAGCACUGCAACAGGUAUCUUUCCAAAAAACUGCUGUGUGCAUGUCUCCUUCCAACUCGGAACUACUUGACCCACCAUUAAUGGCAAGGACUGUUGGAUUUUUCCCAGAGUUCAUUAAUUCACUAAUCAUUGACUAUAAAAAUAAAUAUGGACAAAUAUCUGCCUAUCUAAAAACCCAUCAUUUCUCACAGAUUACUUUCCAGUUAUAUUUAGUCAUGUAAUCAAACUCUGACCAAUGAGGUGUAAGCAAUCAGUUGUUGUCUUAUGAAUGGCUUGUUUAAAAAGAAAAGAGCAAUUGCUACCCUCUCUUCCU